UACAGAGGGUGCGAGCGUUAAUCGGAAUUACUGGGCGUAAAGCGUGCGUAGACGGUUAUUUAAGUCGGGUGUGAAAGCCCCGGGCUCAACCUGGGAAUUGCAUUCGAGACUGAAUAGCUAGGGUACGGUAGAGGGAAGUGGAAUUUCCGGUGUAGCGGUGAAAUGCGUAGAUAUCGGAAGGAACAUCAGUGGCGAAGGCGGGUCUCUGGACAGUUCCUGACGCUGAGGCACGAAGGUCAGGGGAGCAAACGGG
rnacentral:rRNA from 1 species